UCCCAUCUAGCUCAGUUGGUAAAGUGCAAGGCUCUUAACCUUGUGGUCGUGGGUUCGAGCCCCACGGUGGGCG
rfam:Ipomoea nil DNA, scaffold: scaffold2280, cultivar: Tokyo-kokei standard.